CUAGUACUUCAUUCGUCCUAAAAUUCUUGUUUUAAAUUUAUUCAGAUAUGAAUGUAUCUAGUCAUAUUUUAGUAUUUUAAUACAUUCAUCUCUAAAUAAAUCUAAGACAAAAAUUUUGAGACGGAGGGAGUACCAA
rfam:Hordeum vulgare subsp. vulgare, WGS project CAJW01000000 data, contig: morex_contig_56776